UACGUAGGUGGCAAGCGUUGUCCGGAUUUAUUGGGUUUAAAGGGUGCGUAGGUGGUCUAUUAAGUCAGUGCUGAAAUAUCCCGGCUUAACCGGGAGGGUGGCAUUGAUACUGAUGGACUUGAGUAAAGUUGAGGUAGGCGGAAUUGACGGUGUAGCGGUGAAAUGCUUAGAUAUCGUCAAGAACACCUAUUGCGAAGGCAGCUUACUAAGCUUAACUGACACUGAUGCACGAAAGUGUGGGGGGAUACAAACAGG
rnacentral:rRNA from 1 species